rnacentral:rRNA from 1 species
UACAGAGGUCCCAAGCGUUGUUCGGAUUUACUGGGCGUAAAGGGCGCGUAGGCGGCCUCCGCAAGUCGACUGUGAAAUCUCCGGGCUUAACCCGGAACGGUCAGCCGAUACUGCGGGGCUAGAGUGCAGAAGGGGCAACUGGAAUUCUCGGUGUAGCGGUGAAAUGCGUAGAUAUCGAGAGGAACACCUGCGGCGAAGGCGGGUUGCUGGGCUGACACUGACGCUGAUGCGCGAAAGCUAGGGGAGCGAACGGG